ACUUUUUCCCCACAAACGCCCCACACGCUCAAAGCUGCCACCUGUCUCUUCACACGAGAUAUGUAAGUAGCGCGUGCGGGGCUAACAUAACGUUCGUUAGCCCCUUCCAUUAUCCCCCCCAAGGUCCCAUUUACUCCUUCAAACCCUUCAUUCGACAGCUCCAGGUUAGGUAUCUCAAAACCCUCUUCUCCCUCUCCUCCCUCUCGAGUGCCUGACCCUGACUGUUUCUCCCUCGCCAGAGCAUCUUCUCCUUCUCCGGCACUGGCACCUACAACGGCAACCGACGAUAUCAGAGAAACCGGCGGCAUUUGUCAUCUUCUCCUUCUCCGGCACCGGCACCUACAACGGCAACCGGACUCCCCAGCCCAUCUUUUCACCUCGUUUUUAUUUUCUUUUUUUUUCUGAUCUUUUCACUCAUUGAAGGUGGUGACUAUCUCUUCAGUCUUUCAUCUCAUCAUCAAGAAUUUCAUCAAUAUGCAGACCAUCUUCAUCUCUUCUUUAAUUAAUGCAGCUGCUGCAAAUUAAACCAUUUGUUUAGAUGAUCAAAACUGGUUAAUCUUUGGUUUUUUUAAUUUGUUUAUUGAUCGAUUGACGAGACUUCCAGCUUACGUGACUUGCGCGGCCCCCCACCUACAGCACCAACCGCACAGAUAAACUUAUUGAGUCAAACUCCAUUAUUAAUUUGCUAACUGGCUGAUGGUGAAGACUUUCAGAGUCAUCAGUCAUGGUGACCAUUAAUUCUAAUUGCUUGAGAUCUGAUGGGAUAAUUCUGUAUUAAUUUCUGUUUAUUUUGAUGAACUGACUGCAAUUCCAUGAACUGUGUAGCUGGGUUUUUGUCUCUGAAGAAAUUCCAGAUUCCCAGGUGGUUAGUGUGGAAGGAGAGGCUAAAUAUGUCAUUGCACAGUUGCACUGACUGGGUUAGGCCUAGAUAAGAAUGGCAACUCCAAGAACAGAACUACCCCACACAUCCACUGACCCAUGCACAGCGUUGAGCCUGAGAGAGAGAAAGAGAGAGGUAGACAUCUCACCUUGCUAGAACAAAACCAUUAAAAAGCUUGUGGGACCUCCAACUGUUGUUUGUUUUGUUCAGCUACGACUCUAUAAAAAAAGUAGCCCAGCUGCGAUGAAGAAGAAACAGUACUGAAGACAUGGCUACCCACUGCAUUAAUUGAUCUGGUCCCCCGGCCAACUCCAAUUUGCUCAUCAAGCGUGGGUUGUACACCAAAGCCACUAGAAAAUGCCUACACCCUUAUUUCUCCUUUCCUUCAAUUUCAGUUACAUCUGAUCACUCCUUCACAUGUGUGAAUUCACUAUUCAGUAAUGGAGUGUCAAAUGAUCUGGUCCGCCGGUUUCUCUGAUAUCUGGAAAACGAAAACAUCAGAAAAAAAAAA